rnacentral:rRNA from 1 species
ACUGUGGUCUAGUCUGACGGAGCACGCCGCGUGAGUGAAGAAGGGUUUCGGCUCGUAAAACUCUGUUGUCAGGGAAGAACGCCGACGGGAGUAACUGCCCGUCGGGUGACGGUACCUGACCAGAAAGCCACGGCUAACUACGUGCCAGCAGCCGCGGUAAUACGUAGGUGGCAAGCGUUAUCCGGAAUUAUUGGGCGUAAAGCGCGCGUAGGCGGUUCGUUAAGUCUGAUGUGAAAGCCCCCGGCUCAACCGGGGAGGGUCAUUGGAAACUGGGGGACUUGAGUGCAGAAGAGGAGAGUGGAAUUCCAUGUGUAGCGGUGAAAUGCGCAGAGAUAUGGAGGAACACCAGU